UACGGAGGGUGCAAGCGUUGUCCGGAAUCACUGGGCGUAACGGGCGCGUAGGCGGCCCGGUAAGUAGGGGGUGAAAUCCUGCGGCUUAACCGCAGGGCUGCCUUCUAAACUGUCGGGCUCGAGCACGGUAGAGGCAGAUGGAAUUCCCGGUGUAGCGGUGGAAUGCGUAGAGAUCGGGAGGAACACCGGUGGCGAAGGCGGCCUUCUGGACGGUGACUGACGCUGAGGCGCGAAAGCGUGGGGAGCAAACGGG
rnacentral:rRNA from 1 species